rnacentral:rRNA from 1 species
GUGGGGAAUAUUGGACAAUGGGCGAAAGCCUGAUCCAGCCAUGCCGCGUGUGUGAAGAAGGUCUUCGGAUUGUAAAGCACUUUAAGUUGGGAGGAAGGGUAGUAACCUAAUACGUUGCUACUUUGACGUUACCGACAGAAUAAGCACCGGCUAACUUCGUGCCAGCAGCCGCGGUAAUACGAAGGGUGCAAGCGUUAAUCGGAAUUACUGGGCGUAAAGCGCGCGUAGGUGGUUCAGUAAGUUGAAGGUGAAAUCCCCGGGCUCAACCUGGGAACUGCCUCCAAAACUACUGAGCUAGAGUACGGUAGAGGGUAGUGGAAUUUCCUGUGUAGCGGUGAAAUGCGUAGAUAUAGGAAGGAACACCAGUGGCGAAGGCGACUACCUGGACUGAUACUGACACUGAGGUGCGAAAGCGUGGGGAGCAAACAGGAUUAGAAACCCUGGUAGUCC